rnacentral:rRNA from 1 species
AUGUCUGCUUCAGUUAAUUUCUUUAUUAGAUACGAAAAUGAACUACAGCAGUGCACUGGAACCGAGGACAACAGAAAAGGAAAAUCAAACAUGUUCCCUAAUAAGGGCGCCAUGCCACUUGAUCCUGAACCCAACCACUGGUUACCACCUCCCGUUGACUACUGGAAGCUUAAUACUGACGCUUCCUUCCUUGCUGAUACUGGUGAUGCUAGCCGGAAUGCGGGAUUGCUGGAAGAGAUGCACUGGCGCGAGCUGAGGGAGCAGAAGCCGAGGCAAUCGGGUUUGGAUUGGGUGAGCUAG